rnacentral:lncRNA from 10 species
CAGUGAAACAGGAAGAUAAGCCGAGUGUGAGGAUAACGAGGAGGCAUCAGAGAUAUGAGGAGAGCCAUGUGUAUGAAAUAGUCAUUGGGGAGAAUCUGAGAGUAAUUGAGCCAGUAAAAUGUAUCAUGAUCAUCAGAAAGCACUCAGGGCCCAUUUGAGUUUGGUGGCCAUGAAUAUAAAGUGAGUAGUUGGUGUGGGGGUAUGUUUUUCUCCUAUCACUAUGGACCGAGUGGGUGCAGACGUGGUGUUGACAAAGAACUGGAUUUAAGCAGGGAUUUGGUCUUGCCAGGCAAGGAUGACAAAGUGAGGUAGUGGAAAGGGAGUUGAAGAUACAUACAAGGGAGUGAUUAUUUAGCAUAUUCUUAUUGGACUUUAAUCAGCCUCAAUCAUAUUCUUAGGGUAGUUAGCAUUGGGGACUGAGAGAUAUAGUAAAAGUCAAACUGUGUCAUGUAGUGGCUGGUUUAAAGUUUUCCAAGCACUUUUGCAUGUGUAAGAAUAUGAGAAAGGGCAGGUGGUAAGUGGGGUUGGCCACAAAACAGUGCAACUCUUCAUUUUUUCGGGAUAAGGGGAAGGCCUCUUCUACACCCAUGUUUAUCCUCUGUCCCUUGUGAAGUCCCUGGCAUGGUGGCCUCUUCGGUUUCUUUUUUCCCCUCUUUUCUUUUUUUCUCCCGUCUUCUCUUUAAAAUAUCUCUGCUGGCCAUGUGUGGUUUAAGCUUGACCAUAGUAUUCUUUGUCCUUCAUUUUUCUUUGUUCCUUUUUCCUUUGUCUAAUUGUGGGGUUUGGCCGUCUCUUGGGCAGGUGG